GACGAACGCUGGCGGAGUGCUUAACACAUGCAAGUCGAGCGGAGCGGCGGACGGGUGAGUAAUGCCUAGUAAUCUGCCUGGUAGUGGGGGAUAACGUCCGGAAACGGGCGCUAAUACCGCAUACUAUCAGAUGAGCCUAGGUCGGAUUAGCUAGUGGGUGGGGUAAAGGCCUACCAAGGCGACGAUCCGUAACUGUUAUGAGAGGAUGAUCAGUCACACUGAAACUGAGACACGGUCCAGAAUCCUACGGGAGGGAGCAGUGGUGAAUAUUGGACAAUGGGCGAAAGCCUGAUCCAGCCAUGCCGAGUGUGUGAAGAAGGUCUUCGGAUUGUAAAGCAAUUUAAGUUGGGAGGCGUUACCAACAGAAUAAUCACCGGCGAACUUCGUGCCAGCAGCCGCGGUAAUAC
rnacentral:rRNA from 1 species